rnacentral:misc_RNA from 1 species
GUUUUCUGCAACCUUUGGUUGCUAGUCUUUAGGUUAUUUUAUAUUGACAUGCCAUAAAAAAAAAUAAUAUUUUCAUAGAUUGAUAGUAUCAGUUAAAUAGAUUUUAGUUUGUUGAAUGGUCAAUCUGUGCAAAUUGAAUAAUCAAAAUUAUGGGUAAAGAGAAUAAUUAAUAAGUGUCAAAUUAAUAGUGAUAAAAAAUAAUUUGUUAAUCUAACAAGUGUUACAUGAGUAAAAAUAAUUUAGAAACUUAUUACUGAAAGUAAUACAAGUUUUGUUCUUUCCAUUGUGUAUAUAUAUAUAUGUGUGUGUG